rnacentral:rRNA from 1 species
UACGGGGGGGCAAGCGUUGUUCGGAAUUACUGGGCGUAAAGGGCUUGUAGGCGGCCAACUAAGUCAUACGUGAAAUCCCUCGGCUUAACCGGGGAACUGCGUCUGAUACUGGAUGGCUUGAGAUUGGGAGAGGGAUGCGGAAUUCCAGGUGUAGCGGUGAAAUGCGUAGAUAUCGGAAGGAACACCGGUGGCGAAAGCGGCGCGCUGGACCUCUUCUGACGCUGAGGCGCGAAAGCCAGGGGAGCAAACGGG